rnacentral:rRNA from 1 species
GACGAACGCUGGCGGCGUGCCUAAUACAUGCAAGUCGGACGGGAUUUGGGAGCUUGCUCCUAAUGAGAGUGGCGCACGGGUGCGUAACACGUAUGUAACCUACCUUAAUCAGGGGGAUAGCCUCUCGAAAGAGAGAUUAACACCGCAUAAUAUAUUUUUAUGGCAUCGUAGAAAUAUCAAAUAUUUAUAGGAUUAAGAUGGGCAUGCGGAACAUUAGCUAGUUGGUAAGGUAACGGCUUACCAAGGCUACGAUGUUUAGGGGAUCUGAGAGGAUGACCCCCCACACUGGUACUGAGACACGGACCAGACUCCUACGGGAGGCAGCAGUAAGGAAUAUUGGUCAAUGGGCGCAAGCCUGAACCAGCCAUGCCGCGUGCAGGAAGACGGCCCUAUGGGUUGUAAACUGCUUUUGUACCGGAAUAAACCCUUUUACGUGUAAGAGGCUGAAUGUACGGUAAGAAUAAGGAUCGGCUAACUCCGUGCCAGCCGCCGCAGUAA